GACGAACGCUGGCGGCGUGCUUAACACAUGCAAGUCGAACGGAAAGGCCCUGCUUUUGUUGGGUGCUCGAGUGGCGAACGGGUGAGUAACAAGUGAGUAACCUUCCCUUUACUUUUGGAUAACUUCAGGAAACUGUGGCUAAUACCGGAUAGGAGCUCCUGCUGCAUGGUGGGGGUUGGAAAGUUUGGGCGGUUGGGGAUGGACUCGCGGCUUAUCAGCUUGUUGGUGGGGUAGUGGCUUACCAAGGCUUUGACGGGUAGCCGGCCUGAGGGGGUGACCGGCAACAUGGGGACUGAGAUACGGCCAAGACUCCUAGGGGAGGAAGAAGGGGGGAAAAUGGAAAAAGGGGCGGAAGCCGGAGGCAGCAACGCCGCGGGCGGGAUGACGGCCUUCGGGUUGUAAACCGCUUUCGCCGGUGACGAAGCGUGAGUGACGGUAAUGGGUAAAGAAGCACCGGCUAACUACGUG
rnacentral:rRNA from 1 species